GAGACACCCCUCCGGGGCAAGACUUGCUUCAAUAUGGCUUUGGUGCUCACUGAGUCUGCCCCCUAAGUGUGUUUUU
rfam:Myotis davidii contig81388, whole genome shotgun sequence.